rnacentral:tRNA from 1 species
UAGAUAAAAGUAUUAUCAUACACCUCGAUUUCGGCUCGAGAAUAAAAGGUGAAAAUCCUUUUUUAUCUU